UCCAGCUCCAAUAGCGUAUAUUAAAGUUGUUGCAGUUAGAACGCUCGUAGUCGGAUUUCGGGGCGAGCCUUCCGGUCUGCCGAUGGGUACGCACUGGUCGGCGCGUCCUUCCUUCCGGAGACCGUGCCUACUCUUAACUGAGCGGGGGCGGGAGACGGAACGUUUACUUUGAAAAAAUCAGAGUGUUUCAAGCAGGCAGCUCGCUCUUGCAUGGAUUAGCAUGGGAUAAUGAAAUAGGACUUUGGUGCUAUUUUGUUGGUUUCGAACACCGAAGUAAUGAUGAGAAGGGACAGUCAGGGGCACUCGUAUUCCGCCGAGAGAGGUGAAAUUCUCAGACCAGCGGAAGACGAACCACUGCGAAAGCAUUUGCCAGGGAUGUUUUCACUGAUCAAGAACGAAAGUUAGGGGAUCGAAGACGAUCAGAUACCGUCGUAGUCUUAACCAUAAACCAUGCCGACUAGGGAUUGGGGGAUGUUCACAUAUUGACUCCCUCAGCACCUUACGGGAAACUAAAGUCUUUGGGUUCCGGGGGGAGUAUGGUCGCAAGGCUGAAACUUAAAGGAAUUGACGGAAGGGCACCACCAGGUGUGGAGCCUGCGGCUUAAUUUGACUCAACACGGGGAAACUUACCAGGUCCAGACAUUGUGAGGAUUGACAGAUUGAGAGCUCUUUCUUGAUUCGAUGGGUGGUGGUGCAUGGCCGUUCUUAGUUGGUGGAGUGAUUUGUCUGGUUAAUUCCGUUAACGAACGAGACCUUAGCCUGCUAAAUAGUGACGCGAACACUUCGUUCGUGGGCCACUUCUUAGAGGGACAACUUGUCUUCAACAAGUGGAAGUUUGAGGCAAUAAC
rnacentral:rRNA from 1 species